GCUGGGUGUGGUGGCGGGCAUCUGUAAUCCCAGCUACUUGGGAGGCUGAGGCAGGAGAAUCGCUUGAACCCGGGAGGUGGAUGUUGCAGUGAGCCCAGACCGUGCCACUGCACUCCAGCCUGGGUGACAAAGCGAGCCUUUGUCUCAA
rfam:Gorilla gorilla gorilla genomic chromosome, chr15, whole genome shotgun sequence